rnacentral:snRNA from 1 species
CUGGUUUUGGCACCACACACAAUAAAACUGAAAUGAUAUGAAGAUAAUCACUAUGGCCACAGCACAGGAAAUGACAUGCAAAUUCAUGCAGCAUUCCAAAUUUUU